rnacentral:rRNA from 1 species
AUGCAAGUCGAGGGGCAGCGAAGAGGUAGCAAUACCUCUGUCGGCGACCGGCGCACGGGUGAGUAACACGUAUGCAAUCCACCUGUAACAGGGGGAUAACCCGGAGAAAUCCGGACUAAUACCCCAUAAUAUGGGCGCUCCGCAUGGAGAGUCCAUUAAAGAGAGCAAUUUUGGUUACAGACGAGCAUGCGCUCCAUUAGCCAGUUGGCGGGGUAACGGCCCACCAAAGCGACGAUGGAUAGGGGUUCUGAGAGGAAGGUCCCCCACAUUGGAACUGAGACACGGUCCAAACUCCUACGGGAGGCAGCAGUGAGGAAUAUUGGUCAAUGGUCGGCAGACUGAACCAGCCAAGUCGCGUGAGGGAAGACGGCCCUACGGGUUGUAAACCUCUUUUGUCGGAGAGUAAAGUACGCUACGUGUAGCGUAUUGCAAGUAUCCGAAGAAAAAGCAUCGGCUAACUCCGUGCCAGCAGCCGCGGUAAUACGGAGGAUGCGAGCGUUAUCCGGAUUUAUUGGGUUUAAAGGGUGCGUAGGCGGCACGCCAAGUCAGCGGUGAAAUUUUCGGGCUCAACCCGGACUGUGCCGUUGAAACUGGCGAGCUAGAGUGCACAAGAGGCAGGCGGAAUGCGUGGUGUAGCGGUGAAAUGCAUAGAUAUCACGCAGAACCCCGAUUGCGAAGGCAGCCUGCUAGGGUGCGACAGACGCUGAGGCACGAAAGCGUGGGUAUCGAACAGGAUUAGGUACCCUGGUAGUCCACGCAGUAAACGAUGAAUACUAACUGUUUGCGAUACAAUGUAAGCGGUACAGCGAAAGCGUUAAGUAUUCCACCUGGGGAGUACGCCGGCACGGUGAAACUCAAAGGAAUUGACGGGGGCCCGCACAAGCGGAGGAACAUGUGGUUUAAUUCGAUGAUACGCGAGGAACCUUACCCGGG